GAGCCUAUAGCUCAGUCGGUAGAGCAUCUGACUUUUAAUCAGAGGGUCGCUGGUUCGAAUCCAGCUGGGCUCACCA
rnacentral:tRNA from 2 species